rnacentral:rRNA from 1 species
CAGUCGCCGCGGUAACACAGAGGGUGCAAGCGUUAAUCGGAAUUACUGGGCGUAAAGCGCGCGUAGGUGGUUUGUUAAGUUGGAUGUGAAAUCCCCGGGCUCAACCUGGGAACUGCAUCCAAAACUGGCAGGCUAGAGUAGAGCAGAGGGUGGUGGAAUUUCCUGUGUAGCGGUGAAAUGCGUAGAUAUAGGAAGGAACACCAGUGGCGAAGGCGACCACCUGGGCUCAUACUGACACUGAGGUGCGAAAGCGUGGGGAGCAAACAGGAUUAGAUACCCCAGUAGUCCCUGUCUCUUAUAC